rnacentral:rRNA from 1 species
GGCUCAGGACGAACGCUGGCGGCGUGCCUAAUACAAUGCAAGUCGAACGGCUUUUCUAUGGAAGCUUGCUUCCACUGAGAAGAUAGUGGCGAACGGGUGAGUAACACGUGGGUAACCUGCCCAUAAGAGGGGGAUAACAUCCGGAAACGGGUGCUAAUACCGCAUAGUUUUCUUGAUUGCAUGAUUGAGAAAGGAAAGACGGCCUUUGUGCUGUCGCUUAUGGAUGGACCCGCGGCGUAUUAGUUAGUUGGUGAGGUAACGGCUCACCAAGACGAUGAUACGUAGCCGACCUGAGAGGGUGAUCGGCCACAUUGGGACUGAGACACGGCCCAAACUCCUACGGGAGGCAGCAGUAGGGAAUCUUCCGCAGUGGACGAAAGUCUGACGGAGCAACGCCGCGUGAGUGAAGAAAAGGUUUUCGGAUCGUAAAACUCUGUUGUCAGAGAAGAACAAGUUGGAGAGUAACUGCUCCAGCCUUGACGGUAUCUGACCAGAAAGCCACGGCUAACUACGUGCCAGCCGCAGC